rnacentral:rRNA from 1 species
UGAUCCAGCCAUCCCGCGUGUGCGAUGAAGGCCUUCGGGUUGUAAAGCACUUUUGGCAGGGAAGAAACGGCCUGAGAUAAUACCUUGGGCUAAUGACGGUACCUGCAGAAUAAGCACCGGCUAACUACGUGCCAGCAGCCGCGGUAAUACGUAGGGUGCAAGCGUUAAUCGGAAUUACUGGGCGUAAAGCGUGCGCAGGCGGUUCGGAAAGAAAGGUGUGAAAUCCCAGGGCUUAACCUUGGAACUGCACUUUUAACUACCGGGCUAGAGUACGUCAGAGGGGGGUAGAAUUCCACGUGUAGCAGUGAAAUGCGUAGAGAUGUGGAGGAAUACCGAUGGCGAAGGCAGCCCCCUGGGAUGAUACUGACGCUCAUGCACGAAAGCGUGGGGAGCAAACAGGAUUAGAUACCCUGGUAUCCACGCCCUAAACGAUGUCAACUAGCUGUUGGGGUUUAUUAACCUUAGUAGCGCAGCUAACGCGUGAAGUUGACCGCCUGGGGAGUACGGUCGCAAGAUUAAGACUCAAAGGAG